AGAGUUUGAUCCUGGCUCAGAUUGAACGCUGGCGGAAUGCUUUACACAUGCAAGUCAAACGGCAGCACGGGAGCUUGCUCCUGGUGGCGAGUGGCGAACGGGUGAGUAAUGCGUCGGAACGUACCGAGUAAUGGGGGAUAACGCGGCGAAAGUCGCGCUAAUACCGCAUACGCCCUGAGGGGGAAAGCGGGGGAUCGCAAGACCUCGCGUUAUUCGAGCGGCCGACGUCUGAUUAGCUAGUUGGUGGGGUAAAGGCUCACCAAGGCGACGAUCAGUAGCGGGUCUGAGAGGAUGAUCCGCCACACUGGGACUGAGACACGGCCCAGACUCCUACGGGAGGCAGCAGUGGGGAAUUUUGGACAAUGGGGGCAACCCUGAUCCAGCCAUUCCGCGUGAGUGAAGAAGGCCUUCGGGUUGUAAAGCUCUUUCAGCUGGAGCGAAACGGUACGCUCUAACAUAGCGUGCUAAUGACGGUACCAGCAGAAGAAGCACCGGCUAACUACGUGCCAGCAGCCGCGGUAAUACGUAGGGUGCGAGCGUUAAUCGGAAUUACUGGGCGUAAAGCGUGCGCAGGCGGAUUGUUAAGCAAGACGUGAAAUCCCCGGGCUUAACCUGGGAAUGGCGUUUUGAACUGGCAGUCUAGAGUGCGUCAGAGGGGGGUGGAAUUCCACGUGUAGCAGUGAAAUGCGUAGAGAUGUGGAGGAACACCGAUGGCGAAGGCAGCCCCCUGGGAUGACACUGACGCUCAUGUACGAAAGCGUGGGUAGCAAACAGGAUUAGAUACCCUGGUAGUCCACGCCCUAAACGAUGUCAACUGGUUGUUGGGGGAGUGAAAUCCCUUAGUAACGAAGCUAACGCGUGAAGUUGACCGCCUGGGGAGUACGGUCGCAAGAUU
rnacentral:rRNA from 1 species